rnacentral:rRNA from 1 species
AUUGAACGCUGGCGGCAGGCCUAACACAUGCAAGUCGAGCGGAUGAAGGGAGCUUGCUCCUGGAUUCAGCGGCGGACGGGUGAGUAAUGCCUAGGAAUCUGCCUGGUAGUGGGUGAUAACGUCCGGAAACGGGCGCUAAUACCGCAUACGUCCUGAGGGAGAAAGUGGGGGAUCUUCGGACCUCACGCUAUCAGAUGAGCCUAGGUCGGAUUAGCUAGUUGGUGGGGUAAAGGCCUACCGAGGCGACGAUCCGUAACUGGUCUGAGAGGAUGAUCAGUCACACUGGAACUGAGACACGGUCCAGACUCCUACGGGAGGCAGCAGUGGGGAAUAUUGGACAAUGGGCGAAAGCCUGAUCCAGCCAUGCCGCGUGUGUGAAGAAGGUCUUCGGAUUGUAAAGCACUUUAAGUUGGGAGGAAGGGCAGUAAGUUAAUACCUUGCUGUUUUGACGUUACCAACAGAAUAAGCACCGGCUAACUUCGUG